rnacentral:rRNA from 1 species
AUUGAACGCUGGCGGCAUGCUUUACACAUGCAAGUCGAACGGUAGAGGGGGCAACCCCUUGAGAGUGGCGAACGGGUGAGUAAUGCAUCGGAACGUGCCCAGUCGUGGGGGAUAGCCCGGGGAAACCCGGAUUAAUACCGCAUACGACCUGAGGGUGAAAGCGGGGGACCGAAAGGCCUCGCGCGAUUGGAGCGGCCGAGGUCGGAUUAGGUAGUUGGUGGGGUAAAGGCCUACCAAGCCUGCGAUCCGUAGCUGGUCUGAGAGGACGGCCGGCCACACUGGGACUGAGACACGGCCCAGACACCUACUGGAGGCAGUGGUGGGGAAUUUUGGACAAUGGGAGCAAGCCUGUUCCAGCCAUGCCGCGUGCGGGAAGAAGGCCUUCGGGUUGUAAACCGCUUUUGUCAGGGAAGAAAACCUUUGGACUAAUACACUGGGGGGAUGACGGUACCUGAAGAAUAAGCACCGGCUAACUACGUGCCAGCCGCCGCAGUAA